CUGCAUGUUUAUCCAAGAGCUGUGGCUCCGUGCGAUAGCUACAGGUCUCCAACAACAUGCCAGAGCAACGGGAAGGUCUUUGACUGCUGGGCCUCUUCUUGCCUGUUGCUGUCACUCGCCCCUCCUAUACAU
ensembl:snoRNA